UUAAAUAAUUUAAUGGUGUUUUUUAUUCAAAAAAAUAUUAUUAAUGGCUCAAAAGAUCCACCAAUUAAUUUUGUAUAAAGUAAAAUUAAAAUUUGUAACUGUUUUAUAAUUUUAUUAACCUAUAAACUAAUUUAAUACAGAUUUUUUAAAAUAAAAAUUUUAUCUAAAAAUAAUAGAAUGGAUAAUUUCAAAAAUAUAUAUUAUACUUAUAUAAAUAAAUAAAAUAUUAAAUUAAUCAAAUUUAUUUUUAAAAUAUAAUAUUUUUUAAAAAAAUAUCAAAAUAUAUUUUAGAUAUGGAUUGGAUUUGUAGGUGUAUCUUAUAACUGCAAAAAAUAAACUCUAUGUGAUUUUGUAAUUUUAGAAAGUCAUCGUAGAAAUAAUUUGAAAUUUAUAUAUCUAACUUAUAAUCUUUAUAGUCUUAAAGAAGCUUCUACAUAGCCUUCUUAUUUGAUAUUAUAUAUAGGAAUGAAACUAAGGCCAUCUUAAAAAUCUUCUCAUAUUCUAAUUUUGAUUAAAAAAAUAUUUUCUCUUUAUUUUUAAUAAUAACUAUUAUAGUAUCUUCUUAAUUUAUAAAUAUACUUAUUUUAGAUUGAUUUUCUUGAUUUUGUAUGAUGCUUCUUUUAUAGAUUUAUACAAAUUUAUGUCUCUUGUAAUAAAGUAAUUUUUUUUCUUACUAAAAUACUAUAGAUAUUUGUAAUAUAAAUUUUCUUUUAUGGUAAAAAUAUUUCUAAAGAAAGACCAAGUUUGAAGUUGCUUUAUAUUAUAAUGAAGUCUAAAGUUUUUAAAAUUGUGCAUUGUGUUAAUUUUAAUUUUAAUUUCUUUACAAAAGUAGAUAAUAAAUCCCUUAAACCAUUGAUAAUAUUUCAUAUCUAGAUAAAAAAUAAAAAUAAAAAAUCAUGAUAUAUCUAAAUAAUAUGUUUAAGAAUUUAUUUGGUGUGAUAUUGAUAUUAAUAAUAAUUCCAAAUACUUAAUUUUUUAAGAUUAUUAUAUUUAUAAAUAUUAUAUAUAUAUAUACAUAUAUAUAUAUAUAUAAUAUUAAAUAUAUCCAAUAUUUUACUAAAUUUAUCUACCUAUCUUGAAAAAUAAAUUACCUCUAGAUUCAUUUGUCCACUACUUGAUCCA
rnacentral:lncRNA from 1 species